GUCAACCACACACCCUGGGUUACCAUCACCUACAGACAGAGUGGUUCCACAGAGAGCAGAGCGCUGAAUCCAGGAGAAGCCCAGAGGUUUGCCUGGGACAACCCUGCAGGGGUCCGCAAACUCAGCUGGAAGUGUCAGGAGCACAGCAGUGGAGACCUGGACCUGGUUAAGGUAACCAUGCCAACUGAGAGGACUAGUCCUGGUUAAGGUAACACA